CUUUCUUUCUCCUGCUGUAGGCAUUCAGUGUGGCCCAGUAACCCCCCUGAUAUUUAUUAAAUGAAAUAAGACAAAAAGCAUUUAUUUUAUUGAAGGGAUUUGAGGACGUAACUAUUCGCCAGCUCUGCAAAGUUAAUAGAAGGAAGGCUGUUGCAGUUUUCAAGAUGUUUCAAAGAAGCAAAGAAACACCAGUUUGGAGGAAAAGACAAUUGCAUUCCUUUUGCAAACCAGAAGUUCGCUAAUGUUUCCAUACUAGUAGUGGAUGACUAGUUGAA
rnacentral:lncRNA from 1 species